rnacentral:rRNA from 1 species
UACGUAGGGGGCAAGCGUUGUCCGGAAUUAUUGGGCGUAAAGAGCGUGUAGGCGGUCCGGUAAGUCGGCUGUGAAAGUCCAGGGCUCAACCCUGGGAUGCCGGUCGAUACCUGACCGGACUAGAGUUCGGAAGAGGCGAGUGGAAUUCCCGGUGUAGCGGUGAAAUGCGCAGAUAUCGGGAGGAACACCUAUGGCGAAGGCAGCUCGCUGGGACGUUACUGACGCUGAGACGCGAAAGCGUGGGAGCGAACAGG